CGGUGAGGAACCUGCCUUCCAGAGGGGGACGAACAGUUGGAGACGACUGCUAAUACCGCAUGACACAUGACCGUGGCAUCACGGACAUGUCAAAGAUUUAUCGCUGGAAGAUGGCUUCGCGUCUGAUUAGCUGGUAGGCGGGGUAACGGCCCACCUAGGCGACGAUCAGUAGCCGGACUGAGAGGUUGACCGGCCACAUUGGGACUGAGAUACGGCCCAGACUCCUACGGAAGGCAGCAG
rnacentral:rRNA from 1 species